GUAAUUCUAAAAUAUAGUUGCUCCUACUUGGCGAUGAAACCCCAUUGGCCAUCCUUCGUAACCAUUCUGAGCAGCCAAGAGGUACCAAUGCUGUAAAAUGCAAAAGACCAAACUUUUUCCAAGUCUGCUUUUUACAAGAGAAGUGGCUAGCUGACUGACCUGCUCUGAAUAACCCUAGCAACCAGAGACCUACCACCCAUCAAUGUAAUCUGUCUUGUUCCCUGUCAUGUGGAGUUGGGUCCAGCCAGAUUAAAUUUAGCCUCUGGAGGCCACUUGAACUCUGGUCAGUGGUACAGACACAGAAUACUAUAAGUGAGUGAGCUCCAUACAUCAGCUUUCUGGAAAGGGCACCAGCAGCUGAAGAGAGAGAAGGAAAACGGGAGGACCUGUAGAGGUGAGAGCUGGGCUGCAAAACACACUGUGAUUCAGGCAGAAGUCACGGAAGCUGCUCUGAGUCACUUACCACAGCUUCCUCCUUUGACAGCACUAUGCCCUUUCACCUGGGUACACACUGCUAACCACAGACCCUGGGCUUCAUGGAACAGUGUGGUUUUCAGAGGGCCUUCUCUGGGUUGUGUUUGAACUCUACAUCACCCUGGAAGAUAGGGAGGCUGCACAGACAUCGCUAGUCCUGGUUUUACAACUGUGUUGGUGCUUGCCUGUCCAAAAGCCCUUCACUGUAAAGGCCCUACACAGCUAAUACCUGAAGAAUUCAGGAUAGCUGCUGACCUUGCUGCAAAUAUGGGCUGUCUCCUUGUGCUUCGUGAUAAAGCUCUACUGGUGACUGUUUCUGUCUGUGUGGGCAAUGUUCUACAUCACUACUAGUUACAUCCUCUUCAGAGCUACCUGGAAACCACUUUCAGGGCAAACACCACGCAGCCUAUGAAAUCCUUCACCAAUCUGCUCCACCCCACCUGAAACAUGAGUUACCUUUUGUCCAGUAUUUGUCCUCCCAUGUAUAUGCUGCCCACGUACAAGUCACUUAGUAGCCAACUCAGACAGUAGACUGGCUAUCACUGAAUCACAAUACUUGUUUAGCCCUCAUCCAGUGGCUGAUGGAAGCAGAGACAGACAUCCACAGAAAUACACUGAGCUGAAAUCUGGAAUUUAGUUGAAGAGAGGGAAGAAUGAAGAACGAAGGGGUCUGUACCAGGUUGGAGAAACCCACAGAAACAGUUGGCCUGAACAAGGGAGAGCACAUCGACCCCAGAUGCUAUCUGGGAGGCCAGAACAAGACUGAUCCAGACCCCUGAACAAGGAUGCCAAUAAGGAGG
rnacentral:lncRNA from 1 species